ensembl:lncRNA
GAAAAGCCAUGUCUUCCUAUCCUGACUGUCAGUAAAAGAUAUUCUUCUGUUGAUUCUGUUUCAGUUCUGGAUUCAGUGUCCUCAGGGGUCAGCAAACAUCAUUUCACGGACACAAGCAACCACAGCCAGUUAUGUUCACAUAUUCUGCCAACCUAAGCCAAAUGGAGAUGCCCAGAUUCCUAGAAGGGAACUGGAAGACCUUUCUCAGUGUAGUACCUGGCUGUGCAAAGAGAGGAGCAUGGGAAGCAAUCCUGAGAUUGGAGAGCCCAUCAGGAGGAAGUCCUGUCAGCAUCUGUGCUUAUUUCAAGAUGAACCUGCAUGGAAGAGAAUCUCAACAUCUGGUGAUGGGUUUAUUGAGCCAGCAUCUUCCAAUUGUAGCAGCUUGUCCACCUAAAUGAUGUGAUCCCAAGGACAUUUCCAUGGGUGAUGAUUGGGAGACACUGUGAAAAACACAUUUCCUAUUUUCUGACUAGUUUGAAAUCAUCGUCUGGAUGGAAAUUGUGCCCUUUCUUUCAAGAAGGAAAGAUUUGUAUCUCUCGUGGUUUCCAAUGCUCACAUCUUUUCCUGGCAGUCGUCAAGGACCAGGUUUUU